UUAUUUAAAAGAUAAAUGCAGUCUAUUCGGUAGUUGACAAGAUUGUAAAGGAAGCGAAUAACACUUAUAGCACGUCUGGUAUUUAAGGUUGUUAAGUUAAAUCUUGCCAAAAGAAGCGAAUGAUCAAGACCAAUAGGGGGAUAAACACCAUCAACAACAUAAGAAAUUAAUUUAAGAAAUUUCCUUUGCAACGAUUCAAUGUGAUCUUUAUGAAUAUUGUAUAUAGGGUACCAUAUCAAUGCACAGUAUUGCAGCCUGGAUCUAAUCAAUGAGGCAUAAAGGAGUAGCAGAACAGAUGCAUCGGUGAAAUCUUUGCAAUUCCUAUAAAUGAAACCAUAAGUUUUGUAAGCGAUGCCCAAAGUAUCAGAAAUGUGAUCCGUGAAAUAGAAUUUUUGAUCAAAUAGAACACCGAGGUCCUUGAUUGAAUCAACACGAUUUAUAACCUCUUCAUUUAACGAAUAAUCAUGUAGUAAUAAUUUAGAUUUUCUCGAGAAAGUCAUUGCAUUGCAUUUGGAUACGUUAAGGGUUAAGCGAUUUUGUGCACACCAGUUUGAGAUUGCCAUCUUCAUUUGACGGGACAACAGAGUUCUGAACAGGUUAACCAACCUUACUUUUUUACAAGUGGACAGAUUGAAAUGGCGCCGACUUUAUGUACUUAUACAUAUUAGCCAAAUACACUGACGUCAUCCGAGGUCAUCAAGAUGGCAGCGUUUGACAACUAGCCGGUUUUCUCAUAAGAGUCAAUGCUAAUAUUUUCGGAAUUCAUUUAAAUUUGAGAGUGUGUCAACUGUAUAUUUAUAGUUUGGAGAAAAUGCCUAAAUUUUGUGCUGUUGUGGGUUGCGCGAAUCGAAGCACCAGAAAUACGGACAAAUUUUAUUUUCCUUUCCCAGCAAUUAGCAACAAUAAAGGUAAAUAUGUACAGGAUGGGGAAAAAAGGCGGAAGCUUUGGUUAAAAGCCUUGAAACGAGUGGAUUUAACGAAGCCAAAGUAAAGUAUCCCUAUAUUUGUUCGGAUCAUUUUAUUUUAGGUACAGUAACUACCUAUUAGAUUUACAGUUUCUAAUAAAUUACUACAUUGAUGCUCUUUUAGAUAAACCUGCAGAUUUGUCGGAUGUGGACCAGCCUGAUUAUGUUCCAUCACAAAAUUUAGGAUAUCAAAAUAAAUUCACUCAUAAUACUUGUAAUGUUGAAAGACACAGUCGUUUAAAAAAGAGAAAACUGAAUAAAUGCCUCUAGACUUUUGAA